AGCGUUUUCAAAUAGUGUAUAUCUUUUUGUUUUAUAUUUAACACUAUUUGAUAAAUUUUAUUCAAAAGUCGUGCAUCGUUUCUUUUGUUGACUAGUAUAGCUGAAAAUGCUCUCAAUUCCUUUAAAUUUUGUGUAUCAUGAAUGAUAUUGCUAUCUCAAUGUUGUAUUGUAUUACAGAUGGUUCCAACGACACUUACAUUAUAAUCGGAGCAGUGAUAGGACUAUCUACUCUUUUGGCUAUUGGAAUCAUCUUAUUAAAAAAGAAAUCAGUGUCUACAAUUGUACCAUCCAAAUCAAUUUCAAAGGAAUCAACUUGUAAAAUCAUCAGUCAUACGUAAUUUGCAUCUACA
rnacentral:lncRNA from 1 species